rnacentral:rRNA from 1 species
AACGUCGUGAGACAGUUCGGUCCCUAUCUGCCGUGGACGUUGGAGAUUUGAGGAAAGCUGCUCCUAGUACGAGAGGACCGGAGUGGACGAACCUCUGGUGUUCGGGUUGUGACGCCAGUCGCAUUGCCCGGUAGCUAUGUUCGGACAGGAUAACCGCUGAAAGCAUCUAAGCGGGAAGCCCCUUCCAAGAUGAGAUCUCCCUGGACCCUCGAGGUCCCUGAAGAGCCGUUCAAGACCAGGACGUUGAUAGGUCGGGUGUGUAAGCGCUGCGAGGCGUUGAGCUAACCGAUACUAAUUGCUCGU